UCGGUCCCAGCUGUUCUAACUAGGACACUGUGUCCGUCAUCGCUGCCAUCAUCAUCAUCAUCGGCCUCCUGGGAGUCGGUGUCUGGAAGCUCCGAUCCGGGAAGAGGGAGGAGAAUGGAUACGACCCCGCGCCCACCAGAAUCACAGCCUGAGCGAUCCUGGAGCUGGAUCUGCCCCU